GGAAGUAAAAGUCGUAACAAGGUCUCCGUUGGUGAACCAGCGGAGGGAUCAUUACCGAGUUUUCAACUCCCUAACCCUUAUGUGAACCUACCUAUUGUUGCUUCGGCGGACUCGCCCCAGCCGGACGCGGACUGGACCAGCGGCCGCCGGGGACCCUCAAACUCUUGUAUUAUCAGCAUCUUCUGAAUACGCCGCAAGGCAAAACAAAUAAAUCAAAACUUUCAACAACGGAUCUCUUGGCUCUGGCAUCGAUGAAGAACGCAGCGAAAUGCGAUAAGUAAUGUGAAUUGCAGAAUCCAGUGAAUCAUCGAAUCUUUGAACGCACAUUGCGCCCGCCAGCAUUCUGGCGGGCAUGCCUGUUCGAGCGUCAUUUCAACCCUCGACCUCCCUUUGGGGAAGUCGGCGUUGGGGACCGGCAGCACACCGCCGGCCCUGAAAUGGAGUGGCGGCCCGUCCGCGGCGACCUCUGCGUAGUAAUCCAACUCGCACCGGAACCCCGACGCGGCCACGCCGUAAAACACCCAACUUCUGAACGUUGACCUCGAAUCAGGUAGGACUACCCGCUGAACUUAAGCAUAUCAAUAAGCGGAGGA
rnacentral:rRNA from 1 species